rnacentral:rRNA from 1 species
GAUGAACGCUGGCGGCGUGCCUAAUACAUGCAAGUCGAGCGAACGGACGAGAAGCUUGCUUCUCUGAUGUUAGCGGCGGACGGGUGAGUAACACGUGGAUAACCUACCUAUAAGACUGGGAUAACUUCGGGAAACCGGAGCUAAUACCGGAUAAUAUUUUGAACCGCAUGGUUCAAAAGUGAAAGACGGUCUUGCUGUCACUUAUAGAUGGAUCCGCGCUGCAUUAGCUAGUUGGUAGGGUAACGGCUUACCAAGGCAACGAUGCAUAGCCGACCUGAGAGGGUGAUCGGCCACACUGGAACUGAGACACGGUCCAGACUCCUACGGGAGGCAGCAGUAGGGAAUCUUCCGCAAUGGGCGAAAGCCUGACGGAGCAACGCCGCGUGAGUGAUGAAGGUCUUCGGAUCGUAAAACUCUGUUAUUAGGGAAGAACAUAUGUGUAAGUAACUGUGCACAUCUUGACGGUACCUAAUCAGAAAGCCACGGCUAACUACGUGCCAGCAGCCGCGGUAAUACGUAGGUGGCAAGCGUUAUCCGGAAUUAUUGGGCGUAAAGCGCGCGUAGGCGGUUUUUUAAGUCUGAUGUGAAAGCCCACGGCUCAACCGUGGAGGGUCAUUGGAAACUGGAAAACUUGAGUGCAGAAGAGGAAAGUGGAAUUCCAUGUGUAGCGGUGAAAUGCGCAGAGAUAUGGAGGAACACCAGUGGCGAAGGCGACUUUCUGGUCUGUAACUGACGCUGAUGUGCGAAAGCGUGGGGAUCAAACAGGAUUAGAUACCCUGGUAGUCCACGCCGUAAACGAUGAGUGCUAAGUGUUAGGGGGUUUCCGCCCCUUAGUGCUGCAGCUAACGCAUUAAGCACUCCGCCUGGGGAGUACGACCGCAAGGUUGAAACUCAAAGGAAUUGACGGGGACCCGCACAAGCGGUGGAGCAUGUGGUUUAAUUCGAAGCAACGCGAAGAACCUUACCAAAUCUUGACAUCCUUUGACAACUCUAGAGAUAGAGCCUUCCCCUUCGGGGGACAAAGUGACAGGUGGUGCAUGGUUGUCGUCAGCUCGUGUCGUGAGAUGUUGGGUUAAGUCCCGCAACGAGCGCAACCCUUAAGCUUAGUUGCCAUCAUUAAGUUGGGCACUCUAAGUUGACUGCCGGUGACAAACCGGAGGAAGGUGGGGAUGACGUCAAAUCAUCAUGCCCCUUAUGAUUUGGGCUACACACGUGCUACAAUGGACAAUACAAAGGGCAGCGAAACCGCGAGGUCAAGCAAAUCCCAUAAAGUUGUUCUCAGUUCGGAUUGUAGUCUGCAACUCGACUACAUGAAGCUGGAAUCGCUAGUAAUCGUAGAUCAGCAUGCUACGGUGAAUACGUUCCCGGGUCU